rnacentral:rRNA from 1 species
UACGUAGGGUCCGAGCGUUGUCCGGAAUUACUGGGCGUAAAGAGCUCGUAGGCGGUUUGUCGCGUCUGCCGUGAAAGUCCGGGGCUCAACUCCGGAUCUGCGGUGGGUACGGGCAGACUAGAGUGAUGUAGGGGAGACUGGAAUUCCUGGUGUAGCGGUGAAAUGCGCAGAUAUCAGGAGGAACACCGAUGGCGAAGGCAGGUCUCUGGGCAUUAACUGACGCUGAGGAGCGAAAGCGUGGGGAGCAAACAGG